rnacentral:lncRNA from 1 species
CGUACGGUGACCCUAUCUUUUCUUUUGAUAUUCUCAAAGCAGUGUCUGAAAGCUAUCUUUUCCUGAAGUGUUUAACAAUUCUAUCAUUUUGUUUAGUUUCUAAUCACAAAAUGGUGUUUUUUCCUGUAUAAUCCAUACAAAAUGUGUCAUUUUGUCCUGUCCUGAAGCUUGAGAAAAUGCGCGGUGACCUAUCAUUUUUAUUAUAUUUUUCAACAUGUAUCAAUAGAUACAACGUUUUGGCAAAGUAUGAACAAAUUCUAUCAUUUUUAUUUUAGACUCCCAUAUACCACCUUAAUCAGGUUGAAGUUAGAAACUAGUGUUGUCAACGAUUAACCGGUUAACCGGUUAACCGGUCGAACGAUCGAAUACCGAAUACCAAAAACGCUAACCACUUUACCGGACUUUUUUUCAAUUUUGAUAGAUUUGAUAUAAAUUUGUAUUGAAAUCAAUAAAUAGUUAUGUUUUAUUUAAAAAAUGUCGUCGUGGUAAUUAAUUUGACAGAUCAAUUGUCCAGUAUAUUGAUUGCUAUUGUUAAUCCUAAAAACAUAAAAUUAAUUA